CAAGUACUUCACCUUCGAUUUGCUGAAUAUGGAGAAAAACAACAAGAGGAGCUUCGGCGACGAGAGGAAGAGAUCAAAGCACUUCACCUUCGAUUUGCUGAAUAUGGAGAUAAACAACAAGAGGCGCUUCUGCGACGAGAGGAAGAGAUCCAAGGACUUCACCUUCGAUUUGCUGAAUAUGGAGAUAAACAACAAGAGGCGCUUCUGCGACGAGAGGAAGAGAUCCAAGGACUUCACCUUCGAUUUGCUGAAUAUGGAGAUAAACAACAAGAGGCGCUUCUGCGACGAGAGGAAGAGAUCGAAGCGCUUCACCUUCGAUUUGCUGAAUAUGGACAUAUACAUCAAGAGGCGCUUCUGCGACGAGAGGAAGAGAUCGAAGCGCUUCACCUUCGAUUUGCUGAAUAUGGACAUAAACAUCAAGAGGCGCUUCUGCGACGAGAGGAAGAGAUCGAAGGACUUCACCUUCAAUUUGCUGAAUAUGGACAUAAACAAGAAGAGGAGCGUCGGCGACGAGAGGAAGAGAUCAAAGCAUUUCACCUUCAAUUUGCUGAAUAUGGACAUAAACAACAAGAGGCGCUUCUGCGACGAGAGGAAGAGAUCGAAGCGCUUCACCUUCGAUUUGCUGAAUAUGGACAUAAACAAGAAGAGGAGCGUCGGCGACGAGAGGAAGAGAUCAAAGCAUUUCACCUUCAAUUUGCUGAAUAUGGACAUAAACAACAAGAGGCGCUUCUGCGACGAGAGGAAGAGAUCGAAGGACUUCACCUUCGAUUUGCUGAAUAUGGACAUAAACAUCAAGAGGCGCUUCUGCGACGAGAGGAAGAGAUCCAAGGACUUCACCUUCGAUUUGCUGAAUAUGGACAUAAACAAGAAGAGGAGCGUCGGCGACGAGAGGAAGAGAUCAAAGCACUUCACCUUCAAUUUGCUGAAUAUGGACAUAAACAACAAGAGGCGCUUCUGCGACGAGAGGAAGAGAUCGAAGGACUUCACCUUCGAUUUGCUGAAUAUGGACAUAAACAUCAAGAGGCGCUUCUGCGACGAGAGGAAGAGAUCCAAGGACUUCACCUUCGAUUUGCUGAAUAUGGACAAAAACAAGAAGAGGAGCGUCGGCGACGAGAGGAAGAGAUCAAAGCACUUCACCUUCAAUUUGCUGAAUAUGGACAUAAACAACAAGAGGAGCAUCGGCGACGAGAGGAAGAGAUCCAAGGACUUCACCUUCAAUUUGCUGAAUAUGGACAUAAACAACAAGAGGAGCUUCGGCGACGAGAGGAAGAGAUCCAAGGACUUCAC
rnacentral:lncRNA from 1 species